rnacentral:tRNA from 1 species
AAGGGAGACCUAAUUCGGGUAUAAGACGAAAAAAGAGUAGUCGAAACCAAGAAUCAAUCCCAAAAGGUCGGAACGAGGUAUGUGGCUUUCAAACUAGGUUCUGGGUUCACACAAGACCUGAAUCAGGAACAAGGGCUAUUAGCUCAGGUGGUUAGAGCGCACCCCUGAUAAGGGUGAGGUCCCUGGUUCGAGUCCAGGAUGGCCCACCUGCACAGGUGGCAAAAACAAAGAAGCGAGGAAUCAGCACCUUAUCUUAUCUAUAUACAAGAGAGAAUGCUGGCUCUGAGUAAAGAGUCCAGAGGAACCUUGAAAACUGCAUAGAGCUAGGUGAAAAAGCCAAAAAAGAAGACCGCAA